UUGUCUACAGAAUUCAGGGUCAAGUC
rnacentral:piRNA from 1 species